AUUGAACGCUGGCGGCAGGCCUAACACAUGCAAGUCGAGCGAGCGGCGGACGGGUGAGACAUGUCUGGGAAACUGCCUGAUGGAGGGGGAUAACUACUGGAAACGGUAGCUAAUACCGCAUACCAUCAGAGGUGCCCAGAUGGGAUUAUCUAGUAGGUGGGGUAACGGCUCACCUAGGCGACGAUCCCUAGCUGGUCUGAGAGGAUGACCAGCGACAGUGGAACGGAGACACGGUCCAGACGCCUGCGGGAGGCAGCAGUGGGGAACAUUGCACAAUGGGCGCAAGUCUUAUGCAGCCAGGCCGCGUGUGUGAAGAAGGCCUUCGGGUUGUAAAGCACUUUCAGCGGGGAGGCGUUACCCGCAGAAGAAGCACCGGCUAACUCCGUGCCAGCAGCCGCGGUAAUUC
rnacentral:rRNA from 1 species